rnacentral:misc_RNA from 1 species
GAGGAAUUCUUUUCAGCCUGAUAUGGAAGAUAGAGAAAUUACGGAUGUUCUUAAAGAUAAUUCCAUUGACUUUGAAAAGUGCUCGGCUGUUAAGAAGCCUCGCUUAUCACAGUUAUCUCCUGACAGAACGAUCUUCAGUAGUCCUGAAGGAAAACAGUUGUCCACCUUCCGUUCAAGGAGUGAUAACCAUCAAAAUAUCUGUAGUGGUCCUUGUGGAUUUGAC